rnacentral:rRNA from 1 species
UACGGAGGGUGCGCGCGUUAAUCGGAAUUACUGGGCGUAAAGCGUGCGCAGGCGGUUGUGUAAGACAGAUGUGAAAUCCCCGGGCUCAACCUGGGAACUGCAUUUGUGACUGCAUAGCCAGAGUGCGGCAGAGGGGGAUGGAAUUCCGCGUGUAGCAGUGAAAUGCGUAGAUAUGCGGAGGAACACCGAUGGCGAAGGCAAUCCCCUGGGCCUGCACUGACGCUCAUGCACGAAAGCGUGGGGAGCAAACAGG